rnacentral:ncRNA from 2 species
ACCCUGCUCGCUGCGCCA